AACCUAGGAGUUGUGAUGGAUCAUCAGUUAAGCUUCACAGACCAUAUUGCUACAACGACCCGGUCCUGCAGAUUUGCCUUAUACAACAUUAGGAAGAUUAGACCCUUCCUCUCAGAGCAAGCCACCCAACUUCUUGUCCAAGCUCUUGUUCUCUCCAGACUGGACUAUUGCAAUGCUCUCCUGGCGGGCCUUCCUGCAUGUACUAUCAAGCCUCUACAACUGAUCCAGAAUGCAGCAGCGAGGGCUUGAUAGUACAUGCAGGAAGGCCCGCCAGGAGAGCAUUACAAUAGUCCAGUCUGGAGAGAACAAGAGCUUGGACAAGAAGUUGGGUGGCUUGCUCUGACAGGAAUGGUCUAAUCUUCCUAAUGUUGUAUAAGGCAAAUCUGCAGGACCGGGUCGUUGUAGCAAUAUGGUCGGUGAAGCUUAACUGAUCAUCCAUCACAACUCCUAGGUUUCUGGCUGUCCUGGAAGGAGUUAUGGUUGAUGAACCCAGCUGUACAGAGAAGUUGUGAUGAAACGAUGGGUUAGCUGGAUCCACCAGCAGUUCAGUCUUAGUAAGGUUAAGCUGAAGGUGAUGGUCAUUCAUCCAGCUAGAAAUGUCACUCAGACAGGCUGAAAUGCGAGCAACUACCGUCGGGUCAUCUGGUUGGAAUGAGAAGUAGAGUUGAGUGUCAUCAGCGUAGCAGUGAUAGGAAAAGCCAUGCUUCUGAAUGACAGAUCCUAAUGACGUCAUGUUGAUGGAGAAGAGAAGUGGUCCAAGUACCGAGCCUUGAGGAACCCCAGUAGCAAGUUGUUGUGACUUAGAAACUUCACCCCUCCAAGACACCAUGAAGGAUCUAUCAGAAAGGUAGGAGUGAAGCCACUGGAGUGCAGUACCAGAGAUGCCCAUCUUUCUGAGGGUGGAUAGGAGAAUCUGGUGAUUAACGGUGUCAAAAGCAGCAGACAGGUCCAGCAAAAUAAGUACUGAGGAUUUUGAAGCUGCUCUUGCCAGUCGCAGGGCUUCAGUAACCGAGAGCAGGGCAGUCUCAGUUGAUUGCCCACUUUUGAAGCCAGAUUGGUAGCUGUCCAGGAGGUAGUUUUGUACAAGAAACAUAGAGAGCUGGUUGAACACAGCUCGUUCAAGUGUCUUUGCAAUGAAUGGAAGAAGGGAUAACGGUCUGUAGUUUUCUAGAAGUGCUGGAUUUAGAGAUGGUUUCUUCAGCAGUGGGCUUACGAGAGCCUGCUUAAAUGCUGAGGGAAAUGUUCAAGAGUGAAGAGAGGAGUUGAUAAUGUGAGUAAGUGAAGGUAUAACUGAAGAAGAAAUCGCUUGAAGGAGGUGAGUGGGGAUCGGAUCAAGUGGGCAAGUAGUAGGAUGACUGGAUAGGAUAAGUUACGUCCGUCUCUGAGAGUGGAGAGAAGGAGGAGAGAGAGGGUGCAUUAGUAGUUGUGAAGUUAUCCUCAGUCUGCGGUGUGGAGAAUUGAUGGCUUUUGUCUUAUUUGUGAAGAAAACUGCAAAGUCGUCAGCUGUAAGAGUCGAUGGAGGAGGAGGCGGAUUAAGAAGAGAAGAGAAGGUUUUGAAGAGUGUCCGAGCGUCACAACAGUUGUUAAUUUUGUCAUGGUAGUAUGAAGUUUUAGCAGUGAAGACGUUUGCAGAGAAGGAAGAGAGGAGAGACUGAUACACACUGAGGUUGGUAGAGUUUCUUGAUUUAUGCCAUUUUCUCUCUGCAGCCCUGAGUUUAGAGCGAUGUUUACGGAGAACAUCGGACAGCCAGGGGGCAGAUGGGGUGGGGCGUGCCGGUCUAGACGAUAGUGGGCAAAAGUUGUCCAAGCAAGAGGUUAGAGUUGAGCAAAAAGUGUCCGUAGCACUGUUUGUGUCCAGAGCUGAAAACUGCGAGAGUGAAGGAAGUGAGGAUGAAACCACAGAGGAUAGGCGAGAUGGAGAGAGUGAGCGUAGGUUCCGUCGAAAGGUGACCUGUGUUGGAGCGUGUGCCGCUACAGGAGUAAGUGCUAGGUUAGCAGUAAUGAGGAAGUGGUCUGAGGUGUGCAGUGGAGUAACUAAAGAGUUGUCCACUGAGCAACAGCGCGUGUAGAUGAGGUCCAGUUGGUUGCCUGAUUUGUGAGUCGCUGUAGUAGACACUCGCUUGAGAUCAAAUGAGGCGAGAAGAGUGUUGAAGUCAGCAGCCUGGGGUUUAUCUAGGUGGAUGUUGAAGUCACCAAGCAGUACCAGAGGAGUACUAUCUUCAGGAUAGUUUGAUAGCAGCACGUCCAACUCCUCCAAGAAGUUUCCCAAUUGACCUGGGGGACGAUAAAUGACCACAAAGUGGACUUUAACAGGGUGGGUUACAGUAACAGCAUGUGAUUCAAAUGAACCGUUACCUGUAGGUGGUGGUUGAAGAUCAAAUUUCCAAUCUUUUGAUAUAAGGAGACCAGUACCUCCACCUCGUACGAGGGGUGUGGGAACAAGUGAAAUGAGUGGAGAGGGCUGGGGGAGUGGCAGUGUCUUCAGGUUUGAUCCAAGUCUCAGUCAGUGCCAUGAGGUUGAGAGGGGAAUGAGUAUCAAUAGAAGAAAUGAAGUCUGCUUUGUUAACAGCAGACUGGCAGUUCCAGAGACCAACUGGAAUAGAGAGCGUAGUAGUAGAGGUCAGAGGGACAGGUCUUAGAUGUUUCGAGCAGGCCUUCCUUCGACGUACAUAGCGUGCUCUCCGAAUGUUAGUAGUGAUAGUAGAGAUCUGAAAGCACAUAGUGACUACAAGUGACCAAAAUAAGUAUGUGAGGAUGAGCUGUACAAAAAUUGAAGGGGAGAAAAGCAAUACUCAAGUGCCCUGUCGGUGUCCUUGCUCAGUGGAGUCGCGCAGGUAAAGUCGAUGGUUUUACACUCGUCGGUCUUCACACGAGGAGGCUUCACACGAGGGCUGCUGCGACCGCUGCCGCGGUGACACUUACCAAUUAUAUAUUUGCCUGAUUACCUGUGAUUGAAGUCAGCUGCUCACGCCUCCCUAUUUAGCAGACCGAAACUGUCCAGUCCCGCGAUAGGCAAACGCAAAACCAAACGCCACUUCACACGUAUUUACCAGGGUAAGCAACACAGUAAUUACAGCAAAGUUUUCCUAGCAAUGCAUAUAUAUGCAUAUACAUGAGCAUUAUCACACGAGUAGCAGUGCAAAAUGGCUGCAUAUCAGCAUGUCUGUGAUUCGG
ensembl:lncRNA